GUGGGGGAGAGGGGUCCGGAGGACGGUCCCCUUGGGGGAGGGGCACUGCGCCGCGUGUCCGCCUGUGCGCGUGCGCGCGAGCCGCCCCGUGCGGGCGGCACGGUUGCGCGCGGUUUCUGCGUCCGCGAGCCGGCGCUUGAUUGUGCCUUGGGGGCGGCGCCGGGUUGUGAGCCCGCAAGGUGGGUUGGUAGCCACUGGGUCAGCUCCGGCCUUGGCGCUGAGCUGAUGUCGUCCUCGUCUUCGCCGCUGCGGGUCAGGCUCUAUUUGUGUGUUGGUGCACGGUUUAUUUUUGUUUCUGGAGAGGAGAUUCCCGGAGGAAUUACCGAGCCUGCGUGCGGUCACCUGGCUAACGUCGAGGCCCGCCCCCUUCUCUCGGCAGCCUGGGGCCCAGGCCUGAGCCACCAUGGCGCUGCCCCCAGGCCCAGCUGCCCUCCCGCAUACACUGCUGCUCCUGCCAGCCCUUCUGAGCUCAGGUUGGGGGGAAUUGGCACCACAAAUUGAUGGUCAGACCUGGGCCGAGCGGGCACUUCGAGAAAACGAACGCCACGCCUUCACCUGCCGGGUGGCAGGGGGGCCUGGGACCCCCCGACUGGCCUGGUACCUGGAUGGACAACUGCAGGAGACCAGCACCUCAAGACUGCUGAGCGUGGGCGGUGAGGCCUUCUCUGGAGGCACCAGCACCUUCACUGUUACUGCCCAGAGGGCCCAGCGUGAGCUCAACUGCUCCUUGCAGGACCCGGGUCGUGGCCGGUCAGCCAAUGCCUCGGUCAUCCUCAAUGUGCAAUUUAAACCAGAGAUUGCCCAGGUUGGGGCCAAGUACCAGGAAGCUCAGGGCCCAGGCCUCCUGGUUGUCCUUUUUGCCCUGGUGCGUGCCAACCCACCUGCCAACGUGACCUGGAUCGACCAGGAUGGGCCGGUGACUGUCAACGCCUCCGACUUCCUGGUGCUGGAUGCCCAGAGCUACCCCUGGCUCACUAACCACACAGUGCAGCUGCAGCUCCGCAGCCUGGCGCACAACCUGUCCGUGGUGGCCGCCAACGACGUGGGUGUCACCAGCGCCUCGCUUCCGGCCCCGGGCCCCUCCCGGCGCCCAUCUCUGAUCUCUAGUGACUCCAACAACUUAAAACUCAACAACGUGCGCCUGCCACGGGAGAACAUGUCCCUCCCGUCCAACCUUCAGCUCAACGACCUCACUCCGGAUUCCAGAGAGAAACCAGCAGACCGGCAGAUGGCUCAGAACAGCAGCCGGCCAGAGCUGCUGGACCCGGAGCCUGGUGGCCUCCUUACCAGCCGAGAUACAGAGCACAAGUGGGGGAGGGGCAGAGAGAGAAGGAGACAUAGAAUCUGAAGCAGGCUUCAGGCUCUGACCUGUCAGCACAGAGCCCAACGUGGGGCUCGAACCCACAAACCGUGAGAUCAUGACCUGAGCUGAGGUUGGACACCCAACUGACUGAGCCACCCAGGUGCCCUUAAAGCUGUAGUUUUAAAGAUCAUCAAAUGAGCAAGUCAUAUGGUCCAACUCCAAAUCAAAAGGUAAGGAACCAUCCUGUGCUUAUCAUGAAGCCAUGGUAAGAGGGGGCUGCAUACUAUAGGUCCACAGAGCAAGGAGCCAGAAGGGAGUAACAACAGGUGCUGAGGAGGAGAGGAGCCCACAACUGAGCAAUGUCUGGGAGGGCUGUGCUGGAGCAGCGAGUUUUUUCUAGGUUCCAUUUCAGAACAAUUCCUUGGUGCUAUUUUUGAAAAACAGCUAGAAAUCUGCCCCGCCUCCUUCAAAGAUGAACCCCUCUCCUUCUGUCCUGCUUCCAUCCGUUAGGCCACAUGGUUCUCCCACAAGGAGUGUCCUUGGUAGACCCUCACAAGCCUGGCCACACCAAAGGCCCACAGCCAUUCCGCCUGCCUUCCUGUGAAAGCCCAACCCUCCUGCUUGCUGCUCUUUUAAUGACAGAGAAGGGUGAUGGUAACUCCAGCAGAAACAUCCUUGUCAAAGGAUCCUUCCCUUGUCAAAGGACACAUCACAGCCAACUCGGAGGAGUGGAGACUAUAGUGAUCUCGCUACAGCUUAAAGCACUUUCUAAUGCUAGCCUCACCUGUGAGUUCUUGAAUUCCGAGUAGAGGGAAAAGAGCAGAUGUAGGGACUGAAUCCGACUCUUGUAGACAGGGAUGUCGAGGAUGGCUGAAAUCAAGAACUCCCAUGAGCAGAACCAAACAAAACCGGGAAUUAUCUGUUUAGAAUAGCCAAGCCCCUCCCAAAUGGGACGCGUUACUAUGCCUCUGGGGGUUAAACACCUGGCAGGCAGUCAGCUAAGCCCAAAUACCACCUUCAAUGCUGCCAAAUAGUAAACUGGCUUAAAGCGAGGGCCAUAACUCAAGAUGCUGUCUUCCGAGAGUAAACAAGCCUUUUCAAAAGCCCACAAUGUAUUCAUCCAGAAACGGAACCGGGAGGGGAUGGGGGAACUUACCACAGAUCAUGUCAAUGUACUCUGCCAGGCUGCAGUCGAUCUCUGCCGUAGGCAGGCUCACCUAGGAGGAGCGUGGGACAGACCAAAGUCAGAAGGCUGAAGCUUCAGCGGGGCCAGCACCCCUCCCUCUCUCUGAAGGAAGAGAGCUCCCAGCAUAAGGCAUGUCAUGGGCCAAACUGUGCUCCCCCCAAAUUCCUAUAUUGAAGCCCUAACAGCCAGUACCUCAGAAUAGGACUGUAUUGGAGACACAGUCUCAAGAGACAAAUGAAAUUAAAAUGAGGUCAUCAGGGUGAAUCCUAAUCCAGUAACUGCUGUCCUUAUAAGAAGAGCAAAUCAGGACACAGGCACACACAGAGGGAAGACGGCCAGGAGAGAGGCCCUGGAUGAAGUCAACUCUGCUGACAACUUGACCUCACACUUCUAGCAUCCAGAUGUGUGAGAAAAUAAAUUUCUGUUGUUUAAGCCACCCAAUCUGGGUCAUGAAAGCCCUGGCAAACAAUACAAUGUGCUUUCUUCCCUCUGAUCAAUAAAAUGAGAUUGAUGACAUUCAUUAACCAUAGUGGAUGAUCUAACAGGACCAAAAAAAUAAAUAAAUAAAAAUAAGUAAAAUACACUGCCAUGCUAUCUUCCGGUGUGUAUUUGUGAGGAAGGGGCUGAUCCCAAGCCACGGCCAAGUAUUUAUGGCUACUUGGUGUUAUAAUGCCUAAUGGGCAUGGAACACUAUAGGAACAGAAAAAAUGGAAUAUGACAGAUGAGGUGAUAGGCUUUGGGUCUAAACAAGUCAUACUGUAAGUUUAAAAACCAUUGGCUCUGUAAACAAUUUUUGUUCUUUUUUUACAAAAAAUCAGAGUGUAGGUAGGUCUGCAAUUUCCUGUUUUCAUUUAACAUGUCAUUGAUAUUUUCUCCUAUCAGAGUAAAAUAAAACCAAAUAAUAUUCUACUAUGUAAGUAUUUCACCAAAUAAAUGUACUACAGUCUGUUCAGUUCCCUAAUCAGACAUUUUUCCUCAGCUACAGCUUUAAAAAUGCUUUGAGGAAAGAGAUUGUUUUCAAAUUCU